GGCAGAUGUCACGGCGCUGGCCUCCUGAAGGGGAGCACGGGACGCUAUGGAGACUGACAAGAGGCCAGAGCCUGGUAUUAGGGCCUCGUUACACCUUACGCUAUGAGCUGCACAAAUAUAGAUGGGGGUCAGUGCUGGCUCGGGUUUGGAGCGGUCACACUUCAGGCCAGAGGGGGCCCGGAGGACUGAAAGCUUCAGGUGCUGACGCGUGGACAGGCUGGGGGUUACGAGCCCCAGGAGCCACGAGGCCCUGCCAGACCCCGGGCAGCCCUGGCAGAGGUCCUGCCGGCGCCACAGGCUCCCGUCUCCCAAGGGUCGGAGAAGAAAGCCCAGGACGCGCCCACGAGGGAUGAGUGUGGCAGGGCACCCGGCGCCCGUCACCGCAGCUGGCACCCAUGGGUGAGCGCACCUGGCAAUGGGCGUGAGGGCCACCUACAAUGUACUGAGGCUAUGCGCAAGCCCGAAGAUAGUGGACAGGGGGCCAUACACAGCUGUCCCAGUGCUGCUGAAAUGAAACAGGGUGACGUCACAGGGGCGCCUUGACGUCACGCCGCCGUGUGACGACACCCCGGGGGACGGGAGUGCUGGGAGGAGGGGGCGGGGCAGGUGGAUGCUCCAGGGAACCGCGUGAUGACGUCACGUUCGCAGUCGAUGACGCAACCGACCGCGAGGCCACGCGUGCGUCACUCAGCGAGCACGCGGGCCAAUCACACACGCAGCGCGGGGCGGGGCAGGCACGGAUCCCCGCCCAAUCCGCGCCCGCGUGACGGCCUCUCGCUCCGCCUCCUUCUCGCGGCUCUUCCAGAACCAUAGCUCCCAGAGGGCAGCGCGGCGGCGCCCCGGAAGUAGUGGAGCAUGGCCGGCGGACCCGGAAGCCCCGGGCGAGGCGCGGGCGGCAGCGCGCCGGCUC